rnacentral:rRNA from 1 species
GCAUAUCAAUAAGCGGAGGAAAAGAAACUAACAAGGAUUCCCCUAGUAACGGCGAGUGAACCGGGAAGAGCUCAAAUUUGAAAUCUGGCGUGCUCAGUGCGUCCGAGUUGUAAUCUAUAGAGGCGUUUUCCGUGCCGGACUGUGUCUAAGUCCCUUGGAACAGGGUAUCAAAGAGGGUGAUAAUCCCGUACUUGACACAAUGACCGGUGCUCUGUGAUACGUCUUCUACGAGUCGAGUUGUUUGGGAAUGCAGCUCAAAAUGGGUGGUGAGUUCCAUCUAAAGCUAAAUAUUGGCGAGAGACCGAUAGCGAACAAGUACCGUGAGGGAAAGAUGAAAAGCACUUUGGAAAGAGAGUUAAACAGUACGUGAAAUUGUUGAAAGGGAAACGAUUGAAGUCAGUCGUGACUGAGAGGCUCAGCCGGUUCUGCCGGUGUAUUCCCCUCAGUCGGGUCAACAUCAGUUUUGUUCGGUGGAUAAGGGCAGCUGGAAGGUGGCACCUCCGGGUGUGUUAUAGCCAGCUGUCGCAUACAUCGAAUGAGACUGAGGAAUGCAGCUCGCCUUUAUGGCCGGGGUCGCCCACGUCCGAGCUA